AGUGCAGAGUGCCAGGGCAGCACAGAGCAUUGGGGUUGGGGUAGCACAGAAUGCUGGGGCUGGGGUAGUGCAGAGUGCUGGGUUGGGGGUAGCGCAGAAUGCUGGGGUUGGGGUAGCGCAGAGUGCUGGGGCAGCAGAGUGCUGGGUUGGGGUAGGACAGAAAUGCUGGGGCUGGGGUAGCGCAGAGUGCCGGGGCAGCACAGAGCAUUGGGGUUAGGGGUACACAGAGUGCCAGGGCAGCGCAGAGCAUUGGGGUUAGGGGGUAGCGCAGAGUGCUGGGGCAGCACAGAGCAUUGGGGUUAGGGGUAGUGCAGAGUGCUGGGUUGGGGGUAGCGCAGAGUGCUGGGGUUGGGGUAGCGCAGAGUGCCGGGGCAGCAGAGUGCUGUGUUGGGGGUAGAGCAGAGUGCUGGGGUUGGGGUAGCGCAGAG